rnacentral:rRNA from 1 species
GAGCGAACAGAUGAGAAGCUUGCUUCUCUGAUGUUAGCGGCGGACGGGUGAGUAACACGUGGGUAACCUACCUAUAAGACUGGGAUAACUCCGGGAAACCGGGGCUAAUACCUGAUAAUAUUUUGAACCGCAUGGUUCAAUAGUGAAAGACGGCUUCGGCUGUCACUUAUAGAUGGACCCGCGCCGUAUUAGCUAGUUGGUAAGGUAAUGGCUUACCAAGGCAACGAUACGUAGCCGACCUGAGAGGGUGAUCGGCCACACUGGAACUGAGACACGGUCCAGACUCCUACGGGAGGCAGCAGUAGGGAAUCUUCCGCAAUGGGCGAAAGCCUGACGGAGCAACGCCGCGUGAGUGAUGAAGGUCUUAGGAUCGUAAAACUCUGUUGUUAGGGAAGAACAAAUUUGUUAGUAACUGAACAAGUCUUGACGGUACCUAACCAGAAAGCCACGGCUAACUACGUGC